UUGCCCUAUUAACUCGUACAAUUUUUGAUUUUUCAUACAAGUAUAAAAUAUAUGAACUCAUAUAAGUUGCAAUUUUAUACAUUUUUGCUUCCGUGAGGUGUGUGUGGCGUAAAACAUUUGUAUAUUUGCACAUUUUUGAAAAUCGGAACUUGUAUGGAAAUCUUUAAACUAAGUUAGGUGAACUUAGUACUUGUAUUGAAAUCUUAGUUAAUGCUAAGUUAGGUCAGCUUAGUAGUUACUACUUGUAUUAAAAAUCAUACAUUUACUAACUAAUUCAUGUAUGUAAAGCGAGUUAAUAAAUUCUGUUAGUACCUGUAUGAAAUAUUAUUAUUUCUUAUACGAGUUCACAAAAUUGAUAUUUGUAUGAGUUAAGUAUAAGUUAUACGAGUUGAAUAAAUUAGUACUUGUAUGAAUGAUAUGAACUUGUAUGAGUUAGUAAAUUUAAUACUUGUAAGAAAACUUAUGAUAAGAGGUAAUAUAAAUUUUUUACUUGUAUGAAAAUUUGCAACUUGUACUAGAAGUUAAUAAAAUUUGUACUUGUAUGGAAAGCUAUAACUAACUUGUACGAGUUACUGAACUUAUUACUUGUAUGAAGUUAAUGAACUUAUAUGAGUUGAUAAAUUUUAUACUUGUAUGAAAAAAUUUCCACUUAUUUUUAUAUUAGUUGUGUGAUGAUAAUAAAUUUUGAAUUACCUGUAUGAGAUUUUAAUAUUGUAUGAGAAUUUAAUACUCGUACGAAAAUUUAGAACUUGUAUGAGUUUAUAAUAUUAGUACUUGUAUGAAAUAUUUAAACUUGUAUGAGUUUGAUAGAUUUAAUACAUGUAUGAAAAAUUUUAAAUGAAUUUAUAGUACAUAUUUAAGUAUUUCCAUGCAAAGUUUUGUUUUAAUUGUGUUUUUAAUCCUGGUCUUA
rnacentral:misc_RNA from 1 species